rnacentral:rRNA from 1 species
CAGCAGCCGCGGGAAUACGGAGGGUGCAAGCGUUAAUCGGAAUUACUGGGCGUAGAGCGCACGCAGGCGGUUUGUUAAGUCAGAUGCGAAAUCCCCGAGCUUAACUUGGGAACUGCAUUUGAAACUGGCAAGCUAGAGUCUUGUAGAGGGGGGUAGAAUUCCAGGUGUAGCGGUGAAAUGCGUAGAGAUCUGGAGGAAUACCGGUGGCGAAGGCGGCCCCCUGGACAAAGACUGAUGCUCAGGUGCGAAAGCGUGGGGAGCAAACAGGAUUAGAUACCCGCGUAGUCCCUGUCUCUUAUAC